AGAGAUGAAAUGAAUGAAGUACUAGCUAGAAAUGUGGAGUUCUCACAGUUGAUGGUUGACUACCAACGAAGACUUCGUGAAAGUGCUGAUUCUUUGAGUGCCUGUGAUGUGCUCCCACAGAAAUUAUCUAUGGAGGUGUCUGUUUUGAAACAUGAAAAGGAUAUCCUGAUGAUUUCUGAAAAAAGAGCUUCCGAUGAAGUUCGGAGUUUGUCAGAGAGAGUGCAUUGUCUCCAGGCAACCUUGGACACAAUUCACAGUGCUGAGGAGAUUAGAGAGUAAAUUGGCUCUAUUCAUGCCUAUUGCAGGAAGCUAGGGCUAUGGAAAGGAGAAAACAUGAGGAGCAUCUAAAAUGAGUUGAAAGCGGUCCAAAACCCUUGUUUUCAUCUCCGUCGGACGCGUCUGACCCCACCGAUGCGUUAGAAUCCUUCCCUACACCGUUGAUUACUGACGGGAAUCAAGGAUUUGGCGGAUCAGAGGUUUUCAAGACGGAGAAUGUGGACAUUCAGGUGGCCGUCGAUUUACUGCUCGCCACUUGUUUCCAGGUCCUGAAUUCUCCCAAUGUUGAUCUCUGAUCGAAGAAGCUUCUGGAUUGCCUGAUCAAGAGCGCAAUUGAGCCGUUGGAUCGGCUGCCAAAAGAGCAGGACAGGUUUUACGGGCUUCUCCAAGCGAAGGUAUGGAUCAGAUUACUCUGUGUUUUCAUGUGGAUCGUUUCGGUGUCAGUCGUCGUGGAUCGAGAUGCCCGAACUGGGACGGGAUUUCCUUUGAACUGUUCGUACAAGUCGGAGCUCGAGGAGCGUCAUCGCUCGUCUUCGCACGACACGUACCUACACCAGCUAUAUAGCUGGUGCGUGGUACACCAGCCAAUUCGCUUUCGUAAGUAGGAGUCGUCGCAGAUCUGGAAAAGCUCUGGACUUGUCGUUUUGAUUUUAGACCCUUUCAAACAACUUUUAUCUCCCUCCCUCUCUCUCUCUCUCUCUAGAAAAUGGUAAAAUCCUUCUUUCAAAACCCUAGAUUUUAGUAUGUUUUCCGUUCAAUUAUCGGAAAUCAGAUUCCGUUUGGUUCUCGUUUUUUCUUGAUUUUUACUGAUCUUGCGUGUUAUGAUCUAUCCGUGUUGAAAAAUCAGGAUUCUGAUUGUUCGAUUUCGAAAUUCUUCGGAAAUCGUUGGGUCGGAUCUCAGAUUUUAGGGCUUACAGAUUUGAAUGUGGACCUCGAAUUUGGAUUUUUUUGAUUUUACAAAUUGAGGAUUUGGGAAUUUUAGGAUUUUGGGAAUCCAAGGAUUUUUAAAAUUAGGGAUUUCACUCUCCAGAUUCGAGAGAGCAUGAGAAGGCACUCCAGAUGCACCGUUUGGAUUCCUGGGAUGUAAGGUGAGCAUGAGAAGGCACUCUAGAUGCACCGUUUGGAUUCCAUGUAACUGGGAUUAUAAUCUAUCAUUACAUUUAAUCACAUUAGUUGUUGCCCAUCAAGUGUUUGGAAAAAUUCCUAAAUCAGUAGCCAUAGUAUUUUUCUCAAAAUUCUAUAUAUUUUUUGUUCUGUUAUUGGCUUUAAUAUAGUUUAAUGCUGCUAGUUGAGUAUUCAUGCAGUUCUCUCUGGGGCAGAAUCAUGUUUCGUUCUGCAGGCUGGAUAUUGAUAUUCAUCAGUAUGAUCCAAAAUCUGGACAUUUUUUAUGCAACGACUUUUCUGCAGGUGCUUCGUAGUUAUUAUCUCGGCUACAAAUCAGUCACACAAACACAAGAUGAUCAUAAGUUCCCAAUGUUUGCACGAUACAGGUUCAUCGACGAAAGAAUUCCAUUGAUGCAUUGCUUGCCAAAUAGGCUGUCCUUGCACCCCAAAUGACAGCCAAGGUGAAAGGCCUGAGAUAUGUUUCACAAAUAUUCGAUUCAAAUAUUAAAGAACCUGAGAUGCAGAUUGGUUUACUCACCAAAGUAAAACAUGUGGCCCACAUAGGGUGGGAUGGCCCCUCUGUAAAUGCCCCAAUUUGGUUGUUUUCCUGAAAUCAUGGUAUCUGUUUUGAUGAUGGAGUGACCCUACAAGAUGGAUUGGAUGUUAUACACAACAUGGGGCAUGCCAUCUGUAUUCACCACGCUGACAUAUGUUUCCUGCCCUAGAUACCAUGAUUUUGGUAACCCAAGAGACCUCUUUGCUGAAAGAUUAUAAGAGGUACAUGGAACUAGCAAGUUGUUUUCCUAUUGUCUUCUAUGAAUAAAAUGCACCUUUUUGCUUGAUUACUCACUUUUUUAUAGAAAUAAAGGUAGGUGUUGAACGGGGUUUCUGCAUGUAAUCCUUGUGGCUGUUGUGAACCGUUUGGGCUUUUGGUUCCAGGUUACUGAGAGAAAAUGCAAUGAAGUUUUUGAUGGAUGACAUGUACAGAAACCCUGGGCCUCUUCAAUUUGAUGGCCUGGGCUCAGAUGCCAAGUCUGUCACCACCCUGUGUGUUGAAGGUCAGGACUACAUAGGCCGGAUAAAGAAGCUGCAGGAGUAUCUCGAAAAGGCGACUUUCCCUGGUUUAUGGCUGUCCGACAUAACGCCCGAUUCAUACAAUGUUCCUGAAGUUCAUGAGUCUUGAAAGGAAGUGUGCUAGAGUACACUCUUGCUUUUACUAGUGCUGCAUUGGAUAGAUGUCGUUGCAAAUGGAGUGCAGUUCCAAGGACAGGAUUCAUUGACAUUACAACUUCAAAGGACUUUAUCAUGUUUUUAGUGGCCUUCAAUUUUUACAGAUGGCUGCUAUCUUAGAGCAACAGUGGACCGGAAUGGAUUGUGCCCCGGUCGCUUUUACAUCACACGUAGUGGACACGUGAUCAUGGCCAGUAAGGUCGGUGUUGUAGACAUCUGCUAGAAGAUGUGGCUAGGAAAGGAAGACAUAUGAUCGGUCCAGAAGGGGACCUCACCGAAACAGUUCAUGUGGAAAGCUAGGAAAGGAAGACGUUUGUAGUUUGUUUUGAAAACUUUAAAUAGACCAUUAAUUGUUUUGUUGA